GUGCUGAUAAUGUUGAGGCAGAUAAAGCAGACUUGUGUUUUAGUGUCUCUGAGUCCCACACCGGUUGAACUUUCAACAAAACAAGUGUUUAUAAACAAAUACCGAACAUAUAAGCUCGUCCCUUCGGGGACAUCCGAUAAAAUUGGAACGAUACAGAGAAGAUUAGCAUGGCCCCUGCGCAAGGAUGACACGCACAAAUCGAGAAAUGGUCCAAAUUUUUUUGAUUUUUGAUUUUUCUCUUCAUUCAGCUGCUGUGUUUUGCAUUCUGCAUUUACCUUCUUCAUCUUCUUCUUCCUUUAAGAAUGCAUUAGCCUUUACAUCUCUUGUUUUUAAUUGAUAAAUGAUGCAGCUAUGAUUUAUGUUUCUUCAGCUUUGUAUGAGUCCCACACCGGCUGAGCUAAGCAAAUUCUUUUUUUUUUUCCUCAUUCAAAGAUGAAUUUUCUUUCUUUCUUCUUCACAGGGCUUUAAUUUCAUUGUGAAUUUGGUGACACAUGGUGAUGGAGGGAACACAAGUUCACAACACAAGGGGUAAAUACAUUUUGUUAUUGCAAAAUUCCAUUACCAGAAUACAUACAUGCUUACAAGUUACAGCCCAAUUGAUAAGUACCAACCUUCAAAAGAUCUUUUAUUCACAAAAUUUUGAUAUGGUUGACAGAUGAAGUUUAGAUGGCAUGGAAACAUGAUUUAACCUGAUCUCAACUCUCAAGUAUUUGAAUUGUUGUGUUUAAGAAUAUCAACAUAACUCUCUUUAAUCAGCAGAUUGCUUUCAUGUAUUUCAGUGCUGACAAUGGGGGGCUUAAGGUUCUCUAGUUAUAUAUCUGGCAGUUUGGGGCAAUUUCUUUAGGCAAUAAAAUCUAAAGACACUAUUAAUUCAAUUAACAUUCAAAUUAAGUUCUACUUUGAUUUAAUAAUUGUCCUCAAUCUUUUGGUAGAAAGCGCCUUAGAUAUCAAAACUUAUAGAAGGCUCGGUGAUAUGGCCUAAAGGAUAAUCUGACUCCAUAUCAUACGCAGCUCGAAUUUGUCUAUAUCAAUAUAUCAUGGUAGAACAUAAGAACCUGACUGUCCUUGUCAAAAUAAUAAGGAAACCUCUACAAAUAGUAUGAGAAGAUAGGACAAUUUUAUCUUGUUUAUGAAGAUUGCUAAACAUGCUUAUUUAUUUCCUCAAAAUUGUUCUAGCUUCUUUGAAAUUGUUUUUAGUUUCAGGUGAUCCUUUUCGUGUGGAUGUUAAUUAUUGUUUUGAAUUAUUUCUCUUCCCAAAUUAUGAUAUGUUAUCAACCCAGAAAAAUGGAGCUGAUGCCAAGGGUUAAUAUUGCUGAAGCUGAACUAUUACAAAUCAUGGUUGUAUUGAAGAAUACUAACCGAAGCAGAUUGCUUUAUUUCAGUAGGCAGAUUGAUUUACUUAAUUUAUUUGGAAAUCAAAAUUUUGGACUAGAUUUGGGUAGGGUGUGCCAGGCCCUUGCAGUAGUGUAAGGCAUGAGCGACGCUUGAAGAUCCCAGCAGCAAGCUACUGAAGUGGACCUUCCCCCUAAAAAAAUUAAUUUAAUAUCAUGUGAGUCAUUGACUCACAUAUCAGAUAUUAAACUGAUAAGAACAGAUACUACACUUGAUCUUAGCCAAAAGGCCGAGAAAGGUAUGCUUAUUACACUGUCAUGCCUCUGGUUUUAUAUCUAAUGUAUGUGCUUCAGUUGUUAUGCACAAGCAGGGUGGGACAUGAGAGGUGAUGCAGCAAUGAGAGGCAGAAAUGUCAUUCACUCUAGAAGUUUUGCUUGCUGCUCUAAAUAUACUCCUUUACUCUCUUAACACUACUACAUGUAUGGAUCCUCAUGCAAACUAAUAUCUGUAUUGAAUGUGCCAAGACAAUAUGCUCGGGUUCGGUAUUGAUGAGUUUAUAGCCCAAGUGUGCUCUAAGUGUGGUGCAAUGGAUCCCCUUAUGAACUCUUAUGUUGAAAGAAUGCAAGCUUCAACAAGGGUCCCACGAUGAGGGUAGAAUCUUGCUUCCGCUUGCAUGCUGAUAAUGUUGAGGCAGAGCAGAUAACUUGGGCUAUAGACAAGAGUGGUACAAUGGGAGUGGUGCAAUGGAUCCCUUUUGUUGAGAGAAUGCAAGCUUCAACAAGGGUAAUCAAAUUGUUCCAGAUAGCACUGAUGUCAUGUUAUACAUGAAUCUCCUUGGCAAACAUUCAGAAAAUAUACAAGUAAACCAGCACAGCAAACAUUGAAGGCUAAUAGGCUAUCUAGCGACGGGCAGGCAUGGAUCACGGCCCCCAAGUCAUUUUUUACGGAUUAUACAUAUUUAUAUAUAUAACUUUUUUGUUCUUAGUCCUUUUGUACAUCUUUCAGAAUGUAAGUAUGUUAUUAUAUUCAUUGUUUUUGUCCAUUUACCUCAACUAAUACUUGUUGUAGCAGUUAAAUAAUUUGAUGAAAUUCAUGAGUUU